rnacentral:rRNA from 1 species
CCUACGGGUGGCAGCAGUGAGGAAUAUUGGUCAAUGGGCGGGAGCCUGAACCAGCCAAGUCGCGUGAGGGAAGAAGGUACUGAGUAUUGUAAACCUCUUUUGCCAGGGGACAAAGGCGGCCACGGGUGGCCGUAUGAGGGUACCUGGCGAACAAGCAUCGGCUAACUCCGUGCCAGCAGCCGCGGUAAUACGGAGGCUGCGAGCGUUAUCCGGAUUUAUUGGGUUUAAGGGGAGCUAAGGCGGCGUGUCAAAUCAGCGGUAAAAUGGCGGGGCUCAACCGCGGCCGGCCGUUGAAACUGGCGUGCUCGAGUUGGAAAGAAGUAUGCGGAAUUCGUGGUGUAGCGGUGAAAUGCAUAGAUAUCACGAAGAACCCCGAUUGCGAAGGCAGCAUACCGGCUCCACACUGACGCUGAGGCACGAAAGCGUGGGUAUCGAACAGGAUUAGAGACCCCUGUAGUC